rnacentral:misc_RNA from 1 species
GCAAAGUUCAAUAUGUGAAGAGAAGCAAGGUAGCAAAGCUGCUGAGGAAUCUUACCUUGAAAUUUAUUGGAGUGAACACUGAGUACUUUCAAAGAAGAUAGGCUUUCACCUAUCCAUGAAGGCAUAAAACCAUCAAAAGCAUUCAUACUAAGAUCAAGAGUCUCCAAGUAUUCUAGAUUCCGUAACGAAAUUGGGAUCUGUCCUUGAAGAUUAUUGUUUUGCAAAUGCAGGGAAAUAAGAAACUGUUGGGAACCCAAGGACAUUGGAACACGGCCAUUCAGCAUAUUACUUGAAAGAUCAAUCACCGUUAAACUUUGCAAAUUU